rnacentral:ncRNA from 1 species
CAGGGGCGCUGGAGGCAACUCCGGCUGAGAUUGGGGCGUAGCGCCGUCCCAGGUCGCCUUGAACCUGAUCCGGGUAAUGCCGGCGUAGGAAGUCGAAGAU